UGGGUCCAAAAACAGGCGCUCGGCGGCUGGGAGUCUGUUUGGAGAGCAGAUACUUUGAGUCACAACAUUUGCUUCAUUGAAGGAGCUUUUGAACCAUCGCCAUGCAGGCUCUUCUGGGAAUUUUCUUCUUCUCUCUGCUAACUACAGGUGCCUCUUUGGACUGCGAAAUUUGCCGUGGACAAACAUUCUGCACUGGCAAUAAGGAAACUUGCCCUUCUGAUGAUGAUGUGUGUUACAUGACUUUGGCAGAACGCCCAAAAGGUGGACCAU